GGGGAUUUAGCUCAGCGGUAGAGCGCUUGCCUAGGAAGCGCAAGGCCCUGGGUUCGGUCCCCAGCCCCG
rfam:Rattus norvegicus chromosome 20, whole genome shotgun sequence.